UGGGUUAUAAAUCAUGAGAUAAAUUCUUAUUAUCCUAAUCCUAGAAAUUAAAUUCCAGAAUCCUAGGAAUCACAAAAUAAAUCCUAAAGGACAGUGUUCAAUAUGACUCAAGUUUCAUUGUUUUACCCAAUAUUUCCAAUAGGAUCAACAUGAGAUUCAUUAAGGAUGUGCAUGAUCUUACAGGUUUUAAUCAAGAAAGCAGUAACGCUAGUACUGUAAGUUCUGGGCAAUAUUUCACAGAGAUGUGAUAAAAUAUCAAUUUAAAGCACAAUUCAUAAAGAGUCAACUUACAUCACUGCUCAGCAUAACAAAAACCAAAAUUCUUCCAAAUUCUAACAAGUCUUGUCACAAGCCAAAAGAGACUAGUAAAUAAAUCAAAAUCAAUCCCAACUAAUGAAACUUCUGGAAAAGCCCAAUAAUCAAGCUUUUUCUGGAAAUUUAAAAACACCAACAAAGAAGUGCUAAGUUAAUUGGUAAAAAACUAUGAAUGCAGUAACUCACCAAAUGACCUCCAUACACAACAAAGUUCUGCAACGCCCCAAUUAGCAGAAGCGCCCAAAUGGGUAAGACCUCGCCAAUUGCAUAAAGCCCAAGCCACAAAUCCAGUACUAUCAGCAAAGUGAUCAAAGGUGAUAUACUCCCGAAUGGGUACCCACUCCUUGAAUCGCUCAUGCAAAUACUGCAUCAUCAAUUCUGGCAGAAAUGAUGAGUGAUGAGACAGGAUUAUGGGUUACGGCGGAGAUAAUGGGAUCUUGAAGAGAAGUUGAUGAGAAUUGAUUUUUCAAGGAAUCAAGUUGAUGAGAAUUGAUUAUAGAAAGAUGAUGGAGACGAUCGGAAGACGUAGUUAGCUAAGAAAUUUUAUCUUUCUUCCCUGUUUUUAUUUCAUUUGGAGGAUAUUUAGAUAAUUAAUUCC
rnacentral:lncRNA from 1 species